GGUCUCAUGUGAGAUUUUGGGGGUCCCAGGUGAGUUUUUGGGGUCCCAGGUGUGCCCAGGUCUGUUUCGGGUCCCCCAGGUGUACCCAGGUGUGUUUUGGGGUUCCCCAGGUGUGCCAAGGUGAGUUUUUGGGGUUCCCCAGGUGUGUUUUGGGCUGCCCAGGUGUGCCCAGGUGUAUUUUGGGGUUCCCCAGGUGUGUUUUGGGCUGCCCAGGUGUGCCCAGGUGAGUUUUUGGGGUUCCCUAGGUGUGGUUUCGGGCUGCCC